AGAGUUUGAUCCUGGCUCAGGAUGAACGCUGGCGGCGUGCCUAACACAUGCAAGUCGAACGAAGCACUUAAGACGGACCCUUCGGGGUAAGGUUUAAGUGACUGAGUGGCGGACGGGUGAGUAACGCGUGGGCAACCUGCCCUGUACAGGGGGAUAACAGUUGGAAACGGCUGCUAAUACCGCAUAAGCGCACAGUGGGACAUCCCACAGUGUGAAAAACUCCGGUGGUACAGGAUGGGCCCGCGUCUGAUUAGCUAGUUGGCAGCGUAACGUCCUACCAAGGCAACGAUCAGUAGCCGGUGUGAGAGGAUGAACGGCCACAUUGGAACUGAGACACGGUCCAAACUCCUACGGGAGGCAGCAGUGGGGAAUAUUGCACAAUGGGGGAAACCCUGAUGCAGCAACGCCGCGUGAGUGAAGAAGUAUUUCGGUAUGUAAAGCUCUAUCAGCAGGGAAGAUAAUGACGGUACCUGACUAAGAAGCUCCGGCUAAAUACGUGCCAGCAGCCGCGGUAAUACGUAUGGAGCAAGCGUUAUCCGGAUUUACUGGGUGUAAAGGGUGUGUAGGCGGCAAGGCAAGUCAGAUGUGAAAGACCGGGGCUCAACUCCGGGGCUGCAUUUGAAACUGUUUUGCUGGAGUCCAGGAGAGGCAGGCGGAAUUCCUAGUGUAGCGGUGAAAUGCGUAGAUAUUAGGAGGAACACCAGUGGUGAAGGCGGCCUGCUGGACUGGUACUGACGUUGAGGCACGAAAGCGUGGGGAGCAAACAGGAUUAGAUACCCUGGUAGUCCACGCUGUAAACGAUGA
rnacentral:rRNA from 1 species